rnacentral:rRNA from 1 species
UAGGGAAUCUUCGGCAAUGGACGAAAGUCUGACCGAGCAACGCCGCGUGAGUGAAAAAGGUUUUCGGAUCGUAAAACUCUGUUGUUAGAGAAGAACAAGGACGUUAGUAACUGAACGUCCCCUGACGGUAUCUAACCAGAAAGCCAAGGCUAACUACGUGCCAGCAGCCGCGGUAAUACGUAGGUGGCAAGCGUUGUCCGGAUUUAUUGGGCGUAAAGCGAGCGCAGGCGGUUUCUUAAGUCUGAUGUGAAAGCCCCCGGCUCAACCGGGGAGGGUCAUUGGAAACUGGGAGACUUGAGUGCAGAAGAGGAGAGUGGAAUUCCAUGUGUAGCGGUGAAAUGCGUAGAUAUAUGGAGGAACACCAGUGGCGAAGGCGGCUCUCUGGUCUGUAACUGACGCUGAGGCUCGAAAGCGUGGGGAGCAAACAGG